rnacentral:rRNA from 1 species
AGGACGAACGCUGGCGGCGUGCUUAACACAUGCAAGUCGAGCGGUAAGGCCUUUCGGGGUACACGAGCGGCGAACGGGUGAGUAACACGUGGGUGAUCUGCCCUGCACUUCGGGAUAAGCCUGGGAAACUGGGUCUAAUACCGGAUAUGACCUCAGGUUGCAUGACUUGGGGUGGAAAGAUUUAUCGGUGCAGGAUGGGCCCGCGGCCUAUCAGCUUGUUGGUGGGUAAUGGCCUACCGAAGGCGACGACGGGUAGCCGACCUGAGAGGGUGACCGGCCACACUGGGACUGAGACACGGCCCAGACUCCUACGGGAGGCAGCAGUGGGAAUAUGCACAAUGGGCGAAAGCCUGAUGCAGGCGACGCCGCGUGAGGGAUGGACGGCCUUCGGGGUUACGUAAACCUUCGUUUACGAGCGAAGGGACGAAGCGACGAAGUUGAACGGUACCUGGACAGAAGAACGCCGAACGGCUAACUACGUGCCAGCGAG